ACAGAAGCCAUCGUCCGCACAUG
rnacentral:piRNA from 1 species